UUACAGUACAUUGAUUACUAGACAUUUGCUG
rnacentral:piRNA from 1 species